GAUUCAGACGUUCAUUGUGUAGAACGCUUACAUCUAUUUUAAGGAGCAGUGUUUAACUUUUAAACCACUUCGCCUUAAUAUAAGUGUUUAGGUACAUAAUGAUAAAAAUAGCAUAUUAUUAAUUUUACCAAGUGAAACACGCCGAUUGAAAUUCUUGGAAGGGCUCGCCAGCCUGAUUAAAACCAGUUCGAGAGGUCCGACCAUAACGCCUGAACACUUCUUUCCAGUUGUCAGCCUAUUUUUCAUUGCCAUCCUAACUUGGGCGUAUUUCGGGCUAGGAACGUCAGAUUGGGCAUAGUGAAAGUAUAAAAAAAUUGUUGUACUGUACGUUAUUUAAAUUUCUAUUAAACUAAAUCAACAAUUAUCUAGGAUGUAAUUAACGUCUAUAAACUGUAAUGUAACUCGACUGGAAGAAAAGAUUAAGUAGAAGUAUUAAGUAAUAAAUAAUUUAAAAAUCAAA